UCAAGAACCCAGCCGAAUCUCCAGCGUCGCAACCGCAGGAGAGCGGGGGAACCAAAGAGUCCUCCAGGACUCAGGGGCGAAUCGUCGUAUUCCGCGACGUAGCGCUGCUCUUUCUGCGCGAGCCCGACAGCUAACCCCGCAGGCGCCCGAAAGAGAAGGG
rnacentral:sRNA from 2 species